rfam:Spirochaetaceae bacterium 4572_59 ex4572_59_scaffold_160, whole genome shotgun sequence.
GGGCGAUUAGCUCAGUUGGGAGAGCGCCUGCCUUACAAGCAGGAUGUCGGGGGUUCAAGUCCCUCAUCGCUCA